CAACUACAAAAGCCAGAUUGCUGACAGGAUAGGGGCUUUCCCCUCAUGGUUUCCUACUGUUUCUUUGUGGCCAUGCUGGCCCCUAUGGUGUUGGCUCUGGAACAGUCCCCGGACAUGGUGAUACAAAAAGGCCACUCUGUGAAUCUGAGAUGUUCCAAGAAGAAAUCCACCAGCACAGCUAUGUUCUGGUACAUGCUGCCUUCGGGGAAGGACUCCAGGCUGACCUUUGUGGCUUCUGCAGUGGAAGCUGGUAAUGCAAUUGUUGAGAAGGAUCUUGAGAGCCAUUUCAAGAUCAGUAACAUAGAAGGGGACAGUGUGACCCUCUCAAUAGAGCAUGCCUUUCUCAAUGAUUCUGGCAUGUAUUACUGUGCUGAGGGUGAAACACAGUGGCUAGGCUGCUGA